rnacentral:rRNA from 1 species
GCUCGUAGGUGGCCAACUAAGUCAAACGUGAAAUCCCUCGGCUUAACCGGGGAACUGCGUCUGAUACUGGAUGGCUAGAGAUUGGGAGAGGGAUGCGGAAUUCCAGGUGUAGCGGUGAAAUGCGUAGAUAUCUGGAGGAACACCGGUGGCGAAGGCGGCAUCCUGGACCAACACUGACGCUGAGGAGCGAAAGCCAGGGGAGCAAACGGGAUUAGAUACCCCGGUAGUCCUGGCCCUAAACGAUGAAUGCUUGGUGUGGCGGGUAUCGAUCCCUGCCGUGCCGAAGCUAACGCAUUAAGCAUUCCGCCUGGGGAGUACGGUCGCAAGGCUGAA